AAAGGUGAAAUUAGACAAACUACAAGUUGGUUCCGAGCUUGACACUAACAAUGAAAUUCAUUUUUACCAUUCUUUUCCUCGGUGUUUGCGUCGUUGUUAUAGCCACAGAUAAGGAAAAGAACUCAGAAAAGGAUAAUGAUAAAAAGCAUGAAACUUUUGUGGAAAUAGAUAUGAUACUAAGUGUGGGUCUUCAGUUACCGGACUGGAAGAGGUACCAAAUUCUGCAUCAAAUAGGGGCUCGCGAAUAUCUCCGGACUAAUGAACUAGGAUACGAAUUAAAGUACAAACACUUUCGCGAUAUCGACUUAACAAAACUACUAAUACUUCCUGAGAACGAUACGGACACUACUGGCUGUUGGGUAGCUACUGAAGGUUCUGCUCAUUAUUAUUUUCGUAACAAUGGAAGCUUGGAGUAUGUUAAUACUUAAUAAGACUGAGAUUGCUCUAAUAAAGUAUUGAUCUUUA